rnacentral:rRNA from 1 species
AAGACCUUGCACUUUUGGAGCGGCCGAUGUCUGAUUAGCUAGUUGGUGGGGUAAAGGCCUACCAAAGCUUCGAUCAGUAGCUGGUCUGAGAGGACGGCCAGCCACACUGGGACUGAGACACGGCCCAGACUCCUACGGGAGGCAGCAGUGGGGAAUUUUGGACAAUGGGCGCAAGCCUGAUCCAGCCAUGCCGCGUGAGUGAAGAAGGCCUUCGGGUUGUAAAGCUCUUUCAGCCGGGAAGAAAAGGCUGCGACUAAUAAUCGCAGUUCAUGACGGUACCGGAAGAAGAAGCACCGGCUAACUACGUGCCAGCAGCCGCGGUAACACGUAGGGUGCGAGCGUUAAUCGGAAUUACUGGGCGUAAAGGGUGCGCAGGCGGUUUUGUAAGUCAGAUGUGAAAUCCCCGGGCUUAACCUGGGAACU